UGGGGAAUUUUGGACAAUGGGCGAAAGCCCGAUCCAGCAAUGCCGCGUGUGUGAAGAAGGCCUUCGGGUUGUAAAGCACUUUUGUCCGGAAAGAAAUCCUUGGCUCUAAUACAGUCGGGGGAUGACGGUACCGGAAGAAUAAGCACCGGCUAACUACGUGCCAGCAGCCGCGGUAAUACGUAGGGUGCAAGCGUUAAUCGGAAUUACUGGGCGUAAAGCGUGCGCAGGCGGUUUGCUAAGACCGAUGUGAAAUCCCCGGGCUCAACCUGGGAACUGCAUUGGUGACUGGCAGGCUAGAGUAUGGCAGAGGGGGGUAGAAUUCCACGUGUAGCAGUGAAAUGCGUAGAGAUGUGGAGGAAUACCGAUGGCGAAGGCAGCCCCCUGGGCCAAUACUGACGCUCAUGCACGAAAGCGUGGGGAGCAAAACAGGAUUAGAUACCCUGGUAGUCCACGCCCUAAAACGAUGUCAACUAGUUGUUGGGGAUUCAUUUCCUUAGUAACGUAGCUAACGCGUGAAGUUGACCGCCUGGGGAGUACGGUCGCAAGAUUAAAACUUAAAGGAAUUGACGGGGUCAUAGCUGUUUCCU
rnacentral:rRNA from 1 species